rnacentral:lncRNA from 1 species
UUUUUUUAAGCUAUGUUUUUUUUCUUUUUUCUUUGUUUUUUUAAAGCUAUUUUUUUUUCUUUUCUUUGUUUUUUUUAAUGAAUAUUUUUUUGUUAAAUUUUUUUCUAUUUAGUUAUUAAACUUUCAUGAUAUGGAUUCCGGGUUUGACGGGUUGAUUAUAACAUAUACUAAAAUUGUUUAGUCUUUUACUGUGGACUGCACAGUGC